CCUGGUGGCGAGUGGCGAACGGGUGAGUAAUAUAUCGGAACGUGCCCAAUCGUGGGGGAUAACGUAGCGAAAGCUACGCUAAUACCGCAUACGAUCUAAGGAUGAAAGCGGGGGAUCGCAAGACCUCGCGCGAUUGGAGCGGCCGAUAUCAGAUUAGGUUGUUGGUGGGGUAAAAGCCCACCAAGCCGACGAUCUGUAGCUGGUCUGAGAGGACGACCAGCCACGCUGGGACUGAGACACGGCCCAGACUCCUACGGGAGGCAGCAGUGGGGAAUUUUGGACAAUGGGCGAAAGCCUGAUCCAGCAAUGCCGCGUGCAGGAUGAAGGCCUUCGGGUUGUAAACUGCUUUUGUACGGAACGAAACGGCCUUUUUUAAUACAGGGGGCUAAUGACGGUACCGUAAGAAUAAGCACCGGCUAACUACGUGCCAGCAGCCGCGGUAAUACGUAGGGUGCGAGCGUUAAUCGGAAUUACUGGGCGUAAAGCGUGCGCAGGCGGUUUUGUAAGACAGAUGUGAAAUCCCCGGGCUCAACCUGGGACCUGCAUUUGUGACUGCAAAGCUAGAGUACGGUAGAGGGGGAUGGAAUUCCGCGUGUAGCAGUGAAAUGCGUAGAUAUGCGGAGGAACACCGAUGGCGAAGGCAAUCCCCUGGAC
rnacentral:rRNA from 1 species